rnacentral:rRNA from 3 species
CACAUCUGCCUCAGCGUCGGAG